rnacentral:tRNA from 1 species
GCGGUUGUGGCGAAGUGGUUAACGCACCGGAUUGUGGUUCCGGCAUUCGUGGGUUCGAUUCC